CACAUCAGUAAUCUGUAAUAGAGAACUUACGUAUUCAUUGCUGUUUCUAUUUCUAUUUUUAUUCUUAUAUUUAAAAUUUUUCGUACGGAAAGAGAAAAAUGGGCGUUAAUUUUUUCGCAGAAAAAUGGGUCUGUCGACAGAUCCAAAUUUGAAUAUACGUGCUUUUAUAUAUAUAUAUAUAUAUAUAUAUUAUAUAUUUUAUUUAUAAUUGAUCAGGAUUGGUACUCAGAAGAGAUUGGUGGA
rnacentral:lncRNA from 1 species